UCCCACCCCUGGUAACCACUAAUAAACUUUGGUCUCUAUACGUUUGCCUUUUCUGGUCUUUUUCUGUAAGUGAGGUCAUACAAUAUUCGUCCUUUUGUAAUUGACUUAUUUCACUCAGCAUAAUGUCUUCAAGCUCCAAGCGUAAUGUAGCAUGUAUCAAGACUUCAUCUACUGAAGGACCAAGAGCUUCUUGCCAAUUAAAAUUCAAGUAUCUAUAAGGUAUGAUCACUAAUAUGUGCUACAUAAAAUCCAAGUGAUGUAAAACUGAAAAGUAUCCACUGAAUUUUUUUUACUUUAAUAAUGAAAUAUUCAAUAUAUACAAAAUAUAUAGUUUAUAGGUGAAAAUAAUUUUUUGAAAAAUACCUUAUAUAUCCACCAUCCUACUUAAGGAAUGAUACCAAUACCUUUGAUGCCUUCUCCCUUUACCUCAUGCCCACAUAAGCCUGUGACAAAGAUUUCUUCCUUUUCCUUGUUCUAUACCCCCAGAUUUUAAGCUAGGCACAUUUCUCAGGCUUCCUUGCAGCUGUGUUCCUAAAUUCUAGCCAGAAGACAUGAGGGGACUUCAUGUUGCAAUCUCCAGUAACUAAUCUUAAGACAGUCACUUACUCCUCCAUUCCUCCACCUUGCUACUUUGGAUAUGGUUGUAAUCAUCUUAACCAUGUACACGAGGGUAACACUCUCAAAAGAUAAAACCAAAAGGCAGGAGGAGCCUAGGUCCUAGAUAACCAUGUAAAACAUAGGUGUCACACCAGCCCUAGAAUACUUCCAGUCUGUUACAGAGGAGGAAACUUACAUCUUGUUUUCACUAUUUGGGGUUUCUGUUAAAUGCCAUUAAACCUAUAUCUUAACUACCACAAUAUCCUUCCUUAAUCACAUUGUUUUCUCAAACUUUCAGGAGUACCUGCUAUCCUAAAUUUUAUUAUUCUCUUGGUUUUCUUUAGUUUUCCACGUAAAUAUAGGCAUUCCUAUAUAAUUUACUGUUUAAAUCUGCAUGCUUUUAAAAUCCAUAUGGAGAGAAUAAUCCUAAAUGUAUUUUCUUGCCUUUAUUGUACAACAUCAUGUGCAUACGGUUCACUGUUCUUCUGUUUAUAAACAUCUGGACUUCUUCCAGUUUUUUACUAUUACUAAUAAUGCUAAUAUAAGUACUAUUAUAUUUGUCUGGGUACAUGGCUGUUAAGAAUUUUUCUAGAGUACACUGCUAGAAGUGGAGUUGCUGGAUGAUACAAAUGUAUGAAUGCAUAUAUUCAAUUCCAUUAGAUAAGGCUACAUUGUAUUAUAAAGUGGUUGUAAUUAAUUUACACUCCCACAAGCAUUCUCACUGCAUCACAUCAUUGCAAUAUAUUGUUGUUUGAACUGUGUACCCAAAAAGAUACAUAUUAAAUGUGAUAUAUUAGCCUUUUUAAAUAUCACUGGAUUUGAUUAGGUAAUAUUUUAUGAUUUCUGCUUCAGUAUUCAUGAAAGAGAUUGAUAAUAAUUUUCUUCUAAUGUCUUUGUCAGAUUUUGGCAUCAAGGUUUCCUAUCCUUAUGAGUUAGGAUGUGCUCCAUCUUUUUUUGUUGUUUGGAAAGGUUUGCAUAAGACUGGUGUAUUUUUUCUUAAAUACUGGGAAAAUUCACUAGGGAAGCUAUCUGUUGUAGAGAUUUUUUUUUGUGGGAAAAGUUUUCAAUAACUGCUUUAGUAACUCUGACAGAAGUAUUUGUAUUUCGUUUAUUGUAGCAGUUUUAAAAAACUGUUUUAAGAAAUUUGUCGUUUUAUCUUAGUUGUUAUAUUUUUGUCAUAAUCUUACUACAUUUGUGAGAAGAUCUGUAGUGAUGUCCCCUUUUUCGUUCCUGAUAUAAACAAUUCAUGUUUUCUCUUCUUUUUCUUAAAGAAUUUUGCUAGGGGUUUAUCAAUUUCAUUACUCUUUUCAAAAACUCAGCAAUUGGAUUUGCUGAUUUUGUUUUCUAUUUCAUUGUUUUAAGUCUCCUGUUCUGUACAGCCCCAGUAUUCAGCAAAUUUUCUAAGGAGAAAACUGGCCAUUUGCUCAGGCCUCCCAAAACACUACCCCAAAUGUUCCACAUGGCUCUCAACCAUGGGCAUCUGCACCAAAUCUGAAAAAUUCUGCCACAGCUCCAGGAUAAAAAUGGUGUGCAAGUCAGUUAUCCUAGGUUUUACCAUCCUUGGAGACUUAGCUUCUGUAAUUCUUGAGUCAGCAGCUCUCCACUGCCCUAAGAAAAAUGGUAACUGGAUUUUACGUGGCUUUUUCUAGCUGUUCUAGGUGGGACUGCUGGUCUGCAAGCAGGUAAGUGGAAGUCCUAGUAUCUUUUAUAUACUUUGAAAGAUUCAUUUUGCUAAUAUCUUCUGAUUUUUGCAUAUAUGUUCAUCUGUUCCACGUCUUUAAUUUUCUCUUUCUUGAAUUAUACCUGGUUGGUUUUGCUACAAAAAUUAAACUAAUCCUUUGGUUUUGGUACAAAAAUCAAAUUAAUCCCAUAAAACAAGAUAGGGGGCUAUUCCGCUCAUUUAUUCUUUAAAAGAAUUUGUAUAAGACUUAAAUGAUCAGUUUCUUAAUUAUUUCAUAAAGCUUGGCUACAGACAGGGCAUUUUCAUCGUUGUGGGAAGAUGUCUAACCACUGAUUCAUUUUCCUUAAUAGUUUUAAGACAAUUCCGGUUUAACUAUUUCUUCUCAAGUCAAUUUUGAUGAGUUAUAUUCUCCUAGAAAUCUGUGUUGUUUCUUCUAAUUUAUAAUAUAUUCUAAUAUUUUUUUCCUGUCUGCAGCAUCUGUAGUUAUAUAACCUCCAUUCCCAAUCUUUUGGUUUCUCUUUUAUUGAGCAGUCUUACCACAUGAUUGUUAAUUUUAUUAUUUUCUUAAACCAUGUUUGCCUUAGUAAUCAUAUUAUUAUAGAUCAUAUUCUACUUUCUUAAUUUCUCUUCUAAUCUUCAUUGUAUCCUUUAUUGUAUUUGUGUUUCUUUUAUCGUUCUCUAACAUGUUAUUGGGGGCUUUCAUGAACAGUUAUAAAACCAUUCAGGUUUUCUAUUUCUUUUGGAUUCAGCUUUAGUAUCUUACAUAUUUUUAAAGGCCUUUGUCCAUGUUACAUAAGCUUUCAAAUGUAAGGCCAUAAAAUUGCCUUUUUCUCCUCUAUGGUUAUGUAUGAGAAGAUGUAUAUUUUUAACAGGACACAUUGUCACUGUGUAUAAAAAGGUUCUACUUUUAAGAGAGACGGGGUGAAGUAAUAGUGCACAGGCAAUUAGCUAUGAGAUACAUACAAUGCCCAACUAAGAACCAUACUAGCUAAUAAAGCUAGAAGAUGACCAACUCUAAGGUUUAUCAGCAACAGCAUGGAUAAAACUGGCAGAGAGCACAGUAGCAUGAAUCAUAGCUGAAUACCAAACAUUCAAAUUAAAGUAUUUCCUUAAAACAGUAGAAUACUAUUAAAAGACCUGUACAUCAUUUUCUUAUGGAGACAGUCCCUUGCUAAAAGUCAGAAUUCUAAUUCACAUGGCUACUGAAACUCUAGGUAUUAGUUACUUAGUAAUUAAGAUAUUCUGUCCUUUUUAAGUACUCAAUUAUGGUCAUGAAAAGGAAAUUUUAACUUCAAAGAACUCUGAAAAAGGGCUAGCUACAUAUCUACAUUCUUAAUGUAUAUAGCCAUUCCAGAAAGAAGACACAAAAUAGAGGCUACCUAAUAAAGUUGCCUAGGAAUAAUAAGAAUAUGUAUAGUGUGCUAAAAAAAACUUUUAGUGAAGUAAUGAAUAAAAUGUUUCAUUCCUUAGGAAAAAAAAAAUGUUUUUAAUGGUAAAAAAAAAAAAAAAUGAGCUCACUUAUACUUUGAAACUUUUUUUCAAAAAAGUUUAUAAACAUGAACAAAGCUACUAUAAAAUUUAACUUUUAAAAAAGAUGUUUUGGGAGAAAUACUAUUCGGCAGUAUGAAAUCCAAAGGAGUCCUGGGUGGCACAGACAGCUAAGGGCACAAUUACUAGCCAAAAAAUUGGCAAUUUGAAACCACCCAAGGGCACCUCAGAAGACAGGCCUGGCAGUCUGCUUCUUAAAGGUCAAUCUUGAAAACCUUAUGGAAUGCAGUUCUACUCUCCAAACAUGGGGUCGCCAUGAGUCAGAAUCUACUCAGUGCAACUAAUAACAAUCCAAACCAGCAGUGGCUCGAUAUAUUAAUUUCCUAGGUGUUACAGAUUGAAUUAUGACCCCCCCAAAAUAUGCUUUGUAAAUCCUAACCUCUAUGCCUGUGGUUAUAAUCCCUUUGCAUCUUUGUUAUGUUACUGAGACAUGAUUAGUGUAGGGUGUAUCUUGAGAUAAUCUCUUUUGAUAUAUAAAAGAGAUUUUAAAAAAGGCAAGUUAGAAGCAGAGAUGGGGUAAGACAGAUACCAAGACACAUGAAGAUCUCUAAGGAACCAGGAAGCAGAAGUUAGAAAGACUAGGACCUUCCCCUACAGAAAGAGAAAUCCUUCCCCUUCCGAAGAAUACUGAACAUAAUACCAUGGACUGCCAGAAGAACAAGCAAAUCUGUCUUGGAAGAAGUACAGCCAGAAUGCUCCUUAGAAGCAAGGAUGGCAAGACUGUCUCACAUACUUUGGACAUGUUAUCAGGCAGAUCCAGUCCCUGACGAAGGACAUCAUGCUUAGUAAAGUACAGGGUCAAUGAAAAAGAGGAAGAAGACCCUCAACGAAAUGGAUCAACGCAAUGGCUUUAAUAAUGGGCCCAGGUGUAACAGCGAUUGUGAGGAUGGCGCAGGGCCAUCACCUAACAGCAACAACAACAUAAAGAUUAGCCCAUUGCCAUCGUGUCAAUUCCAAUUCAUAGUGACCCUGUAGGACAGAGUAGAACUGCCCCACAGGGUUUCCAAGGAAUGGCUGGUGGACUCAAAGUGCCAACCUUUUGGUUAGCAGCCAAGCUCUUAACCAUUGUGCUACCAGGGCUCCUAACAUAAAGAUUACAGCCUAGGAAACCUUAUGAAGCAGUUCUAUUCUAUCAUAUAAGGUUGCUAUAACUCAGAAUCAACUCAACAGCACACAACAAUAACAACAGUAAGACCUGAAUAGCCGUAACAAUGGACUCAACAUACCAACAUUCAUGAAGAUGGCACAGGACUGGGCAAUGUUUCAUUCUGUUACACAUAAGGUCACCAUGAGUCAGAGCCACACAUAAGGUCACUGUGAGUCAGAGCCAAAUUGAUGGCAACAAAGAACAUUAAGACUUAACUUGAGCAUCUUAACUGGACUCAGUAAUACCAUAAUUUCUGUGCCUCAUCUCUCUCAUCUUGUUUUUUUUUUUUUUGAAAAUUUUUCUUUAACCUUACCAAAUCAGCUAAAAGAGCAGUCAUUUUUUUUUACAAUGUUAUUUUUAAAUAUCUGUUCUUUUCAUUUCAAUUCCAUCAUUCUAACCCUUUAAAACCUUACAACUAGUCUACUGGAAUAACCUCAUAACUGUUUUGUUUUUCCCGUUUCCCCAGUUGUAAGUUUUCCCGUCUGGUUCUUAAAUUAUUUGUUCACAAAUUAAUCCUUCAAAAAUAAUACUUUGAUCAUUUUACUCCUCCACUCCAAAACCAUCACUGAUUUCCCAAUGCUAUUGUAAUCACUGUUCACAUUUGAUGAGGACUUUCAUGCCAGGCAUUGGGCUAAGUAACUUUCAAGCAUGUUAUCUUAUUUAAUAUCAACACAACUCUAUAAGGUAGCCUGAUUUUUAUGGAUGACAAAACAAGGUAGUGAGUGAUUUGCACAAUACUGCACUUUAUUAUUUAGUAGAAUGAGGAUUUCAAUCCAAACAGUAUCUUCUAGAACCCAUGCAUGAAACCAUUAAAAUGUACUGCUUCUCCAUAGGAAAUAACUUCUAGACUCUUUAGAAUUUGGUAUCUUCCACACUUGUCUACAAUUACAUAAAGCACAUUUUCUCAUAGAAAUAAUGCUACAUGUGUUAUAAAUUUAUCUCUUCAAGUCAAGCCAUAAACAUUCCUGUAAUAUAGAAGUGUUGCAGUGAGGUGAGGAAGUCCUCAAGCAAGAUACCUCCCACUGUCUAGAGCAGAUGCUCCAAUAGGUGGAGCUGAAAUAGGUGUGGCUUAAAAGAAGCUGCGUUGGCUUCCCAGUUUAAGAAGGCAUUCAGGUCCUUAAGUUACUUCCUUUCCCUCAUUUAAUCAGACAUGUCCUGUACCACAGAAUUAAUGUAUUUCCUAUUUCAGUGUCAUUCAUUAUUUGUUACCACAAUUCAGAUUUUUCUUCUCCCAGCCCUCAGGCCAACCAACUAUAUAUAUCGUGCCUGAUCUAGAGGUAGAAGACUCCCACCUCUCUCCACUGCCCUUAUAUUGGUUUUUCUCAACCAGUAUGGCUACUCAAGAAUUAUGUACUAAAGAAAAUAAUUUGAAUGAUUAUUUUCUCAAUUUGCUCAAAUUUGGUACAUAGCUAGAACAAUUCUAGAUGCACAGAAGAGGGGUUAAUUUAUUUAUUACAUGCAAUGAAUGCCUUAGGCACUUUAUUCCUUAAUAUUUCAAUAUGCAUUUCCUAUAAAUAAGGAUAUUUUAUUCUAUAACUACAAUAGUUAUCACAUUGAAGAAAUUCAACAUGGAUAAAAUAUUUUAACCUAAUCUACCAUUAUUAUUCAGAUUUGCCAAUUGUCCCAAUUUUUUUUUUUUUUUUCCCCUCCAAAAGAAUUCUUCCCUGGAUCAUGUACUCAUUUAGUUGUCAUGUAUCUAUUUAGUCUCUCUUUCAAUCUGGAACAGUUCCUCAGCCUUACUUGGCUUUCACUACCUUGACCUUUUUUUAAGGAUAUAGGCCAAUCUGAUUUUCUUUCUUUCUUUUUUUUUUUUUUUAAUAGCAUGUUUCUCAUUUUUGCCUUAUCUGAUGUGUACUCAGUUAAAUUCAGAUUAUGCAUCCCUGGUAGAAUACUACGUAAGUGAUAUUGUAGCCUUCUCAUAGGGACAUUAGUUUUGACCAUUCAGGCAAGGUGUUGUCGCCUUCCCUACUUGAUAGUUACUAUUUCCCCCCUGGCAACUAAUAAGUGAUCUGGAGGGAGACACUUUAAGACCAUGCAAAUAUCCUUCUCCUCAUCAAACUACCCCCCCAACACAAUCCCAGAUUUAGUAUCCACUGAUGAUUCUUAUCUAAUCAAUACUUAUAUAACGAUUGCAAAAUGAUUGUCUAAUUUCACCACUACUCACUCCAUAUUUAUUCAUCAGCAUUCUACUAUAUAGAAAAGCCAUCCUUUCCCUCCUAUUUGGUUGUUUUUCUAUUUAUCUAUUAUUAGUAUGGACUCUUGGCUUCCUAUUUUUUUAAUGGUUUAGAAUUCAUUACAGUUCUUAUUUUGAUGCUCAAAUAGUUCCAGAUUUGGUCAGUGGGAGACUCUUCAAGGUAGUUCCUGUGUUCUUCUGGCAUGCCCCCCAUCAUUUUUGUAGUACUUCCUUGCUUUCUGGUACAUUAAGAUAUUUCAGGCUCAUUUUAUACCUUCUCUGUCCCAGCCCUGGAGAUCAAUCAUUUCUCCAAGGGACCCUGGUUCUUUUUAGUGGGGAAUGAUAGUAGAAAACAAGAUAUGAGUACAAGGUAUACUCAUUGCUAUCAGAGUAACUUUGAGUCUUGACCUGUGCUAUCCAAUGCAGUAGCAACUACCCACAUGUGGCCAUUUAAGUUAAAGUUAAUAAAAAUAAAAUAAAUUAAAAAUUCAGGUCCUUAGUUGCACUAGCCACAUUUCAUCUGUUCAGUAGCUACAAGUGGUUAACAAACCAGUUGCCAUGGAAUUGAUUCUGACUCCUGGCAACCCUAGGUGUGGACAGUAGUUACCAUAUUGGACAGCAUAGAUACAGAACAUUUCUGUCAUUACAGAAAGUUCUAUUGAACUUUACUAUUCUAGACCCUUUUAGUGAGCAAAGCUAGGGAACAUACAUACACAUUCAUGAAAUCACAAGUUCUCACUCUUCAUUACCUUUAAAAUAUCUUCUUAAAUUCACUCUUUCAAAUAUUAAACAAUUGUUUACUGAACACAUUAUUACUGGACAGGUACUGUUCAAGAUCCUGGACAUUCAGAAAUAAAUAUAUUGUCCCUGUUCUCUAAAAACUUACAAUUUAGUGAGAAGACAGAAAAGUAAAUGGAUUACUACAUAUAGACUGGUAUGAUGAAUUCCAACAAACUGAGGUUAACACAGGGUGCUAUAACAAUAUACGCCCCAGACUGGGGAUGUCAAGGAACUCUUCCUGGGAAAUAACAUUUAAAUUAAGAUUAGAAAGGUAAAUAGUUAUUAGUCUGGAAAUUUGGAGGACAAACUGUGGGGUGGAGAGGAAUUUGCUAUCCUCCAAUAUUUUUUUCAUCUCUUCCCAUUCAGUCCCUGGAGGACAUUAUGCUUGGUAAAGUGGAGGGUCAGAGAAAAAGAGGAAGACCCUCAAAAAGAUGCACUGAAAAUGGCUACAACAAUGGGCUCAAGCAUAAAAGCAAUUGUGAGGAUGGCACGGGAGCUGGCAGUGUUUUGUUCUGUUGUACACAGGGUUGCUAAGCGUCAGAACCAACUCAAUGGAACCUAACAACAACAACAUUCCAAUUCACUUAAAUGCUUUCUUUCUCUCCCCCAUAAACUUUCAAAAUUCUGCUUAUCUUCCAAAGCCCAUUUUUUAUGAUGUAUUUCUUAAUACCUUUAACUAGACAAGACCCUGCCAAACCUCUGAAUGUACUGUAUUUACUGAUUUCACAUACACCAAAGAUUUGUUGGUUUUGUUGUUAUCAGUGUAGUGGGUAAGAACAUGGGCUCGAAGUCAGACUUACUGCUUACUAAUUGUGUGACUCUGGGCAAGCUACUUAAUCCCUCUAAACCUCAAUUUUCAUAUCUGAAGAUGGAAUUAAUUAAAUUUCAUGGUUAAAUGGGAAUCAAAGAAAAUGUACUGAAAAUGCUUAUCAUGAUGACUAGAAUACCACAGAUAAUAAGGAAUACUUGAGAAUUACUAAACAACAAGGCCGCCAGUCUAUGAAGCCAGCCACCAGCUGCCAUCAAGUCGGUUCUGACCCACAGGGACCCCAUGGGUAUCAGGUGGACUGUGCUCCAUCGGGUUUUCAGUGGCUGGUUUUUCAGAAGUGGAUCACCAGGACUUUCUUCCGAGAUGCCUCUGGCUGGACUUGAACUUCCAACCUUUUGGUUAGCACCCUAGUGUGUUGAUCAUUUGCACAACCCAGAGAUUCCACUGGUCUAUUAUUAACAAUAAUAUUUCAACUUGUUUCUUCCUUUGUUUGCUGAAAAUUUUAAAACUGUUCGUACCUUUCCAGGCCAAUCUUUACAUUAUCAAGGCAUAUAUUAUAUUUUAGUAACAACUAGCAAACCACCUAAAUUAUUCAAGCAGAUUUCUUCCAGUAAGAAUAUUAUGUUAUAAAAAAAAAAAAAUAUAUGUAAAAUGUGUUAAACAGAUAAUUCUACUUAUGACUAUGAAAUGACAAAAUCACAUUUCAAAAACGUCAUUUACCUAUUGCUUGCAACAACUUUAAAUAAAAAUCAUCUUUUCCCAUUAGGCUGACAUGUAAAAUAAUUUUUUUAAUUCUAAACUAAAAUUUUUUUUAGAGUAUUUUCAAGUUGGGGAAAUCAUAUUAAUAAUGUCUGAACUACUAAAUGGUAAAAAUUAGUCUAUCAAUAAAAACUAAUUUGCCAGAAUUCACAUUUCUAAUUGGAUGCUGAUAAAACUUAAAAUUGGUUCCUAAUGAAACAAAGCAUCUUGAUUUUCAUAUAAAUUUAUUUGAAACGGUUAAUGUACUAAUAGUUAGAAACAAUCAGUAUUAAAUGACAGCAUCAAGGACAAUUUCUUUCCCUUAAUAUGCUAUUAAGAAAUCUAAAAGAAGUUUUAAAAAGUAUGUCUUACAGCAGGAACUAGACAACUUAUUUUGUACUUCAUCACAGCUUCAGAUUUUUUCGGAAAGAUGUACACCCAACAUUUGUUUACGAAUGAAAAAUGUUUUCAAAAUGAAUGCUUUUAAUGAAGUGCAUUUUAUUUGUUUAAAGUAUAAGCAUGAACACUUAAAAUUGUAUUGCUUAUGUUCUAGAAGAAGGAAAAAAAAGGAGCACUUACCAGGAUUAACAAAUACCAAACCUAAAAGGGAGAUCAAUGACAUUUCCUCCAAAAUAACUGACAGCUGUGCAGAUUUUGUUUACCUGAUCAAAUAUUCACAAGACAAAUAUAUGAUAGCCAGUGUACCUCAUGCACAGCCAUGACUCAUCUGUCAGCGGAGGCUUGCGUGUUGCUACGUGGUGAACAGGUUUCAGUGGAGCUUACAGAUUAAGAUGGACUAGAAGAAAGACCUAUCUACUUCCAAAAAUCAGCCAACGAAAACCAUAUGAAGUACAAGGGUCUGAUCCAUAACCCAUCUCAGGACCGGGCAGCAUUCUGUUCUGUUGUGUAGGGGGCUGCCAUGAGCAGAUGGCAGCUAGCAACAACAGCAGUUACUAAAGAAGCCUCAGCACCCCCCUCUCCGUAAGAGGCUUAUCCCUGAAGAAGGUGAGCCAUCACCUCCCUUUUGAAUGAAAAGAUACAACUUUUGAAUUGGCUAGAGGAUCAACAGACUGGUUUAAAGGGAAAGGAAACCAUUUUAGAUGAACAUACCAUAAAAUCCACUGGAAUACAUCUGUCUACUGGGCGAGCUUGCUUCAUUCUCUAAUGUAAAUUCUAAGGGAAGAAAGCUCAAAAACAUGGAGAAAAAAACAGAUAAAAAGAACAUACACAUAUGGCUGUCAUGAAAUUGGAAGAAACAUCUCGUUUGGUACAGGCAGUCCCCGGGUUACAAACAACAUCCAUUCCUGUGUCUUUAAGAACUUGUAGGUUUACUUUACUGAUGCCUUUAAGUUAUGGUAUUGGUGAAGAAUACUGAAUAUACCAUGAACUGCCAGAAGAACAAACAAAUCCGUCUUGGAGGAAAUACAGCCAGAAUGCUCCUUAGAAGCAAGGAUAGGGAGACUUUGCCUCAGGUACUUUGGACAUGCCAUCAAGAAGGGUAAAGGGUUAGUGAAAAAAGAGAAAGACCCUCAACAAGAUGGACUGGCAGAGUGGUUCCAACACUGGGCUCAAACAUAGCAACAAUUGUGAAGAUUGUACAAGAUUAGACAGUGUUUCAUGUGGUCAUACAUAGAGUCACUAUGAUUGAAACUGACUUGAUGGCCGCUAACCACAACAACCGUAUUAUUGCUGAUGUUACACAGCCUCCUCCUCUGUGCAUAUAUCUGUAGCCAUGUGGCUAAAUUUGGGCCCAUGGAGUUAUGAGUCAAAGUAGUAUAACUUCCAAGUCAUCUAUAACUUAAAAACAAAUGCCCCUGAAUUUCUGGUAUCACUUCCCAAGGGCUGGAAUGUGGACAAGAUUAUGAUCAACAGUGCAGCCAAGAAACACAUCCUAGGGGACAGCAAAGCAGCAAGAUGGAAGGAACCUGAGUCCCUGAAUGACCCUAUAAAAUUAAGCUGCCCACCAGCCUUUACCUGCCCUCUCAAUUCUGAAAUGUUAUGUACAAAAGAAAGUAUAUUUUUAAAGCCACUAUUUUUUUUAGUUUCUUUUUUACAGUGGCUUAUCCUGUAACCUAAUUUUACAGGUAGAACACACACACACAAAAAAUACAUGUAAGCACAUGUAUUCAUGAAAUCUGGCAGCGAAUGUAAGUAAUUAUCGGUUUUAAAAAAAAGUAACUAGAUUGGAGUAGAUAUAUUCAAUGAAUUGUUAAAUGGUACUGAGAUCCCUGUUUUAAGUUAAAAAAAAAAGUAUAAAAACAUUGAGUACCUUUACUCAUUAUUAGAACAAUUUGUAGUUAAGUAUGUUAAAAAUUAGGAGUAAUCACUGAAAGAACAGAGAUGUAAUGUAGAGCUUCCAAGCUAGCAGAAAGGAGAAAGGACUGAAACAAACUCCACCAAAUAUACAAAUGAGAGGUGAAAAAUAAGAAGCAAAUACAAAGGCAUGAGAAAUAAGGGCAACUGUGAAAAACAGAAACUAAUCAAAGUAGAUUUUUUUAAAUCUAGUUAUAUGUAGCUUAUAAGAGAAACACCUCAAAUAAAACCAACCAGAAAGACUAAAGGGCCAGCCAAAAUAUAUACUAGUUAAAUACUAACCAAUAGAGAAAGUUUUAUUAAUAUCAUAAGAAUAGAAUUUAAAAGAAAAAUAUUUUAAAAGGAUAAAAGUCCACUGCAUAAUAAUAAAAAGAACAAUUCACAAAGAAAUAACAAUACAUGUUUACCGAACAGCAUUACUUCAAAAUGUAAGAAACAAAAAAAUAACAGGAGAAACUGAAAAAUCCACAAUGAUGGGAGAAACUUUAACAAACUUGUAUCAAAAAUUGACAGAUCAUACCAAUGUUCAUUUCACAGUAGCCAAAAGGUGGGAAUAACCUAAAUGUCCAUCAACAGGUAAAAGGAUAAACAAAAUGUGCCGUAUAUACACAUUGGAGGAUAACUCUGCCCUGAAAGGAGAGGAAGCCCUGAUCAUGCUACAACACGGAUAAACCUUGAAAACAUGCUGAGUGAAUUAAGUCAGUCACAAAAGGACAAAUACUGCAUGAUCCCACUUGUAGGCAAAUGUAUAGACACCAAAGUUUAUUAAUGGCUACCAGGAGUGGCAGGGAGAGGGAAAAAGGUAGUCACUGCCUAGGAGGCACUGGGUUUCUGUUAAUGGUGGUGGAAUAAUUUGGAAAAGGAUAGUGGUGAUGCUUGUAUAACAUGAUGACCAUAAUCAAUGUCACUGAAUUACAGAUGUAAAAAUUGGGGUAUUGGCAAAAGUUUGUUACAUAUAUUUUCACAAUAAAAAAAUUCACGAGUUACAAUAUGUAAAGAUACAGCAGAUAUAUACAAAAUAAGUAAGUUUAACCUAAUAUUUAGAGAAUUCUGUAAUCAACAAAUGAGGAAUAUAUAUAUUUUGUGGUAUAUAUUGAGCAUUUACAAAAUAUUUUUUAGUAGGUCACAAAGAAUGCCAGUCAGUUCACAGGCUACAAUACGCUUACCAUAUUUUUAUGCAAAUAAUGUGUGUGUUGUAUGAGUUUUUUGCCAACCAAGCAACCCCCUCGCACAGUAUUUUCCUAGGCACACUAAGCACGUUAUAUGUGUAGAUGCAUUAUUUAUGUUGGCUCGUUAUUUGUGAAAAAAUACAGUAAAUGAUAAAUUACUGUUUAAAAAAAUUUCAUGAGUUUAAAAACAUUAAAAUGUACAACUCAAUAACCCUAGGAUUAAAAAGGCAACAACACUGAAAAUAACAAAAUAUUUAGACGUGAACAGCAGUGAAAGAAUUAAGUAUGUGGUAUGCACUCUAAGUGAUACCUGAGUAGAAAUUGGGAAUGAGUUAUAAGAUCAAGUCAAGAAGCUAAAAUAUCACCAUCAACAACAGUAAUAAUACAGUAAACCCAAUGUAAAUGAAGCAAAAAAAAAAAAAAAACAUGGAAAACCAAGAGAUAAAGGAAUAGCAAUAACACCAAACUUUAGGAUGAAAAGGCUUAUAGUAAGAAAGACAAAAUGUUUGAAAAUUUUUUCAAAAGUAAUAUAGGGGAACUUUUCUAUUAAAAAGUAAGACUUACUAUAAAGCUGUGUAAUUGGGAUGGAUAUAUAAAUAAAACAAGUCCAGUAAAAGACCCAUAUAUAUAUAUAUAGGAACUGAAUAUGAGACAAAAGUAAUAUUACAAACCCAAAAUUUAAAAGAUUUCCUACACACACAUACCGAAUGACCCAAUAAAGGAGUAUGAAAUAGGUUAAUUGCUAGACCAAAAACAAAAAUACCUGAAUGUCAGUAACACUAAGGACCAAUCUCACUAAAUGCAGGAAUAAGUAAAUUAAGACAGUAGUAACAUAACAUUUCACACUCAUUAAACUGGAAAAAUUAAGCAGUAAUGAAAUAUAACAUGUUAUCAUGGAUGUAGAGAAACAGAAGCUUUCACACACUGCCAAAGGGCAUGCUGAUAUUCAGUCACAUCAGAGAAUACUGAAAAGCUGAAGACAGCUAUGCCUAAGAUCCAGUAAUUCAACUUUUAAGUAUAUACCCACAAGACUCUUCCUACAGGUGUACAAGGAGAUACAAGUUACUAGCAUAAAAACUGAAACAACAUACAUGUCUAUCAGUAGAAAACAGGAGAACAGAUAAACAUACCAUUAUAUUCAUAUAAUAUCCAUUCUAUUCAUACAGUGUAAUAACUUACAGGAAAUAUAAAACUAAAUAAUAUGAACAAAAUCAAGCAAGUUACAAAAGAAUUUAAACAAAUAUUAUUUAUAUGAACUUUAAAUGUAAAUAAAAAUGUUACUUAUAGGCAAAGCUGUAUACCUAUGUGGUAAAAGUAUAAAAAUACUGAAUCAGAAUAAUCAUUCCAUUUAUUUACUUUACAAUCUGUAUUUAAUGAUUAAUUAAGGGGAGGAGAAAGGGAUCAGGAAGGAGUUCACAGGUGCUUUCGCUGUACAAGUAAUGCUUUAUUGCUCUAAAAACUAAACCCAAACCAGUAAAAAUUUAAUAUUUGAUAAAUUUCAGGAUGAGUACACUGAAGUAACACUAACAAUGUGCAACACGUAGAUAACACAACUAUGCUUGCUGAAGGUGAAGAGGACUUGAAACACCUACUGAUAAAGAUCAAAGGCUACAGCCUUCAUUACGGAUUACACCUCAACAUAAAGAAAACAAAAAUCCUCACAAAUGGACCAAUAAGCAACAUCAUGACAAACGGAGAAAAGACUGAGGUUGUCAAGGAUUUCAUUUUACUUGGAUCCAAAAAUCAGCACCCAUGGGAGCAGGAGUUAGGAAAUCAAAGGACGUAUUGCCUUGGGCAAAUCUGCUGCAAAAGAUCUCUUUAAAGGUUAAAAAGCAAAGAUGUCACUUUGAGGACUAAAGCACGCCUGGCCCAAGCCAUGGUAUUUUCAAUUGCCUCGUUGUUGUUGUUAGGCGCCACCUAGUUGGUUCCAACUGAUACUGACCCUAUGUAUCACAGCAGGAAACAAUGCCCAGUCCUGCACCAUCCUCAUAAUUUCUGUUAUGCUUGAGCCCAUUGUUGCAGCCACUGUGUCAGUCCAUCUCACUGAGAGUCUUCCUCUUUUUCAUUGACUCUCCACUUUACCAAGCAUGAUGUCCUUCUCGAGGGACUGGUCCUUCCUGAUAACAUGUCAAAAAUAUGUGAGAAGAGUUCUGCCAUCCUCACUUCUAAGGAGCGUGCUGGCUGUACUUCUUUCCAACACAGAUUUGUUUGUUCUUCUGGCAGUCCAUAGUAUACUCAAUAUUCUUCACAAACACCAUAAUUCACAGCCAUCAGUUCUUCUUCAGUCUCCUUUAAUCACCUCAUAGGCAUGCAAAAGCUGGGCAAUGAAUAAGGAAGACUCGUCCCUGGAGAAUGACAACAUGCCUGAUAAAGUAAAGGGUCUGCAAAAAGGAAGAUCCUCAACAAGAUGGACUGAUACAGUGACUUAACAACAGGAUCAAACAUACCAACGAUUGUGAGGAUGGCACAGAACCAGGCAGUGUCUCACUCUGUUGUACACAGAGUUGCUAUGAGACGGAACCUACUGGUGGCACCUAACAAUAACAACAACACACAGGUGUUUGUUAUAUUGCUUUCUAUAAUUUUUAUUUGUUUGCAAUUUUUCUUAAAGCAAAACAAACAAAAAGCCCUAAGAAGAUUCCAAUGAGAUACACUCAGAAUUUCUCCCAUAUCUUAAAAUAAAUGUCAACAAAGUAAAGGUUUAAAACAUGUAUAUCAUUUUUAUUAGCUAUAGUCCAACAAAGAAGUUCUGAAUUGCUUAAAAAGUAUGAUAAGAUGAUCUUGGUUAAUAUAAAGGUAUUAUAAAGAUAGCUUCAACUUACACGAAAUGUCAAAAAUCUUAACAUACAUUAGUUGCCUUUUUAUAAAGUCUUCUAACAAUUAUUUUGUAUGGAGAAAUGAGGAGAAACAAAAACAGUAAUAAUUGAAAAAAAAAAAAAAGAACACAGACAAUACCUUGGAGGCACGAAUCUGCCUGUGAACAUCCGUUAGCUGUUGGAUUUUGUAUUCUAGCUCUGAAAUCUGGGCUUGAAGCCAUGUCCAUCGGCUGCCAACUCUUGCUCUGUCUACAAGCCACUUCCAUUCAGUACUACAGUUACUGUGAAAAAGACAAACACUGUUAGUCAAAGCAUAAAGGCAAUCAAGUUUUCACAGAGACUGCUUUAAUAACUUCCUUGACUGCUGUCAUACAACUGCAAUUUCCUUUACAAAAUAUUUAAUUACAUUAAGGGAGAAUGGCACAUCAAUGUCUUAUAUAAAAAAAAAAAUUUCAUUGCCUUACCUUUCCACCCUACAAACACCUGUUUUAUUCAGUAUUAAGUAUUCAGUCUUCCUGGCUAACUGACUGGAAGAGAUCCAUAUUUAUCCCUAUUCCCAAGAAAGGUGAUCCAACCGAAUGUGGAAAUUAUGGAACAAUAUCAUUAAUAUCGCACGCAAGCAAAAUUUUGCUGAAGAUCAUUCAAAAGCAGCUGCCAGAAAUUCAGGCUGGUUUCAGAAGAGGACGUGGAACCAGGGAUAUCAUUGCUGAUGUCAGAUGGAUCCUGGCUGAAAGCAGAGAAUACCAGAAGGAUGUUUACCUGUAUUUUAUUGACUAAGCAAAGGCAUUCGACUGUGUAGAUCAUAACAAACUAUGGAUAACAUUGCAAAGAAUGGGAAUUCCAGAACACUUAAUUGUGCUCAUGAGGAACCUUUACAUAGAUCAAGAGGCGGUUGUUCAGACAGAACGAGGGGAUACUGAUUGGUUUAAGGUUAGGAAAGGAGUGCGUCAGGGUUGUAUUCUUUCACCAUACCCAUUCAAUCUGUAUGCUGAGCAAAUAAUCUGAGAAGCUGGACUAUAUGAAGAACGGGGCAUCAGCAUUGGAGGAAGACUCAUUAACAACUUACGUUAUGCAGACAACACAACCUUGCUUGCUGAAAGCGAAGAGGACUUGAAGCACUUACUAAUGAAGAUCAAAGACCACAGCCUUCAGUUUGGAUUGCACCUCAACAUAAGGAAAACAAAAAUCCUCACAACUGGACCAAUGAGCAACAUCAUAAUAAACAGAGAAAAGACUGAAGUUGUGAAGGAUUUCAUGUUAUUUGGAUCCACAAUCAACAGCCAUGGAAUAAGCAGUCAAGAAAUCAAAAGACGAUUGCACUGGGUAACUCUGCUGCAAAGGACCUCUUUAAAGUUUUGAAAAGCAAAGAUGUCACCUUGAAGACUAACGUGUACCUGACCCAAGCCAUGGUAUUUUCAAUCACAUCAUACGCAUGUGAAAGCUGGACAAUGAAUAAGGAAGACCUAAGAAGAGUUGGCGCCUUUGAGUUGUGGUGCUGGCGAAGAAUAUUGAAUAUUCCAUGGACUGCCAAAAGAACAACAAAUCUGUCUUGGAAGAAGUACAACGAGAAUGCUCCUUAGAAGCAAGGAUGGCGAGACUGCAUCUUACAUACUUUGGACAUGUUGUCAGGAGGGAUCAGUCCCUGGAGAAGGACAUCAUGCUUGGCAGAGUACAGGGUCAGCAGAAGAGGAAGACCCUCAACGAGGUGGAUUGACACAGUGGCUGCAACAAUGAGCUCAAGCAUAGCAACGUUUUUAAGGAUGGCUCAGGACACAGCAGUGUUUCGUUCUGUUGUGCACAGGGUCGCUAUGAGUCGGAACCGACUCGACGGCACCUAACAACAAGUAUUCAGUAGUAGGAUAAUCUUCUCUGCUACUUAAUACUUUAUUAAUGCUGAAGGGCUGAAAGGGAAGUGGGGCAGCAAUGGAAAGGAACCAGGAAUGGCAAUACGAGCACCCUGUAAAAACUGUUACAUGAGGCUUUUAUAUAUAAGUAGAUGGCAAGUAUUAGACAAGUGAUUUCAGCGGUGCUAGAUCUAAAUCCAUGUAACUGUCAUGUAUCAAAUUUUACUGUAAUUUUCAUUUGCUAAAACAGGCAUCACUGUUAACUAAAUACUUAAAAUCAAUUUAAAGAAACUGUCAGAAAUUAUCAAAAAUAUGAAUGCUCUGUAUUAUGGAUUGAAUUGUAUCCCCCAAAAAUGUGUGUCAACUUGGCUAGGCCAUGAUUCCCAGUAUAGUGGUGAUUGCCCACCAUUUUGUCAUCUGAUGUGAUUUUCCCAUGUGUUGUAAAUCCUUCCUUUAUGAAGUUAGUGAGGUAGAAUUAAAGGCAGUAAUGUUAAUGAGGCAUGACUCAAGCUACAAGAUUAGGCUGUACCUUGAGUCGAUCUCUUUUGAAAUAUAAAAGAGAGAAGCAACCAGAGAGGGAUCUUCUACCACCAAGAAUGAAGAACCACCCAAGGGAAGACUGAUGACAAGGACCUUCCCCAGAGCUGCCAGAGAGAGAAAGCCUUCCCCUGAAGCCGGUACCCUGAAUUCGGACCUCUAGCUUCCUAGACUGUGAGAGAAUAAGCUUCUGUUUGUUAAAGCCAUCCACUUGUGAUAUUUCUGUUAUAGCAGCAUUAGAUAACUAAGAUGCUCUGCUACACUACAUUUCAAAUAAGUAUAUCAAAUAUAGAGGUCUUGAGAUGUUUGUUAAGAUAAACAGCUUGUUAGAAACCUGAUUCCCAGCCUACCUACCUACCCAUUGCCAUCAAGUCGAGUCCAACUCAUACCGACCCUAUAGGACAGAGUAAAACUACCCCAUAGAGUUUCCAAGGAGUGCCUGGUAGAUUCGAACUGCUGACCUUUUGGUUAGCAGCCACAGCAGCUCUUAACUGCUAUGCCACCAGGGUUUCCAGUUAACAGCCUAGAGAUGUUAAAUAACUUAUAAAAAGCCUUUCUUUCCCACUAUUAUAAGAUCUUGAGAAAUAGUAAAAACUGAGAAGACCACAUACUUUUGUGGUUACGAGGGGGGGAAGGAGGGAGGGAGAGGGUUUUUUACUGAUUAAUUAGUAGAUAAGAACUGCUUUAGGUGAAGGGAAAGACAACACUCAAUACAUGGAAGGUCAGCUCAAUUAGACUGGACCAAAAGCAAAGAAGUUUCUGGGAUAAAAUGAAUGCUUCAAAGGCCAGCGGAGCAAGGGCGGGGGUUUGGGGACCAUGGUUUAAGGGGACUUCUAAGUCAAUUGGCAAAAUAAUUCUAUUAUGAAAACAUUCUGCAUUCCGCUUUGAAAUGCGGCGUCUGGGGUCUUAAAUGCUAACAAGCGGCCAUCUAAAUCUAAGAUGCAUCAAUUGGUCUCAACCCACCUGGAGCAAAGGAGAAUGAAGAACACCAAGGUCACACGACAACUAAGAGCCCAAGAGACAGAGAGGGCCACAUGAACUAGAGACCUAUAUCAUCCUGAGACCAGAAGAACUAGUUGGUGCCUGGCCACAAUCGAUGACUGCCCUGACAGGGAGCACAACAGAGAACCCCUGAGGCAGCAGGAGAUCAGUGGGAUGCAGACCCCAAAUUCUCAUAAAAAGACCAUACUUAAUGGUCUGACUGAGACUAGAGGAAUCCCGGCGGCCAUGGUCCCCAGACCUUCUGUUGGCACAAGACAGGAACCAUCCCUGAAGACAACUCAUCAGACAUGAAAGGAACUGGACAGUGGGUGGGAGAGAGAUGCUGAUGAAGAGUGAGCUAAUUAUAUCAGGUGGACACUUGAGAUUGUGUUGGCAUCUCAUGUCUGGAGGGGGGAUGGGAGGAUAGAGAGAGUGGGAAGCUGGCAAAAUUGUCACAAAAGGAGAGACUGGAAGGGCUGACUCAUUAGGGGGAGAGCAAGUGGGAGUACGGAGUAAGAUGUAUGUAAACUUAUAUGUGACAGACUGACUUGAUUUGUAAACAUUCACUUGAACCUCAAUAAAAGUUAAUUAAAAAAAAAAGCCUUUCUUUCAUGAAUAUUUGAAAAUGAGGGUUGAACCCUAGUUCCUCUUAGCUCUGUAUCUUAUGGCAAUGCCAUUGCUCUAAUCCAGUUUGCGAAAUUAUGAAAAUAUUGCAAUCAUGCCGCUAGAAAAAAUUAAUUGGUAUUAUGGUUUGUGUAUGUGUUUGGAAUAAUUAAUUAUAAAAUACAGAUUGUAAAGUAAAUAAAAACAUGACAGAAAUGGAAGGCAUAACUGAAGAGCAAUAACUACCUAAUGGCAAAAAAAAAUGGUUUAAAAUCAAAAAAGGUAUAUGCAUCAGGGUUGUAGCCUUUAAUUAAUACAACUUCAAAAAAAAAAAAAACUUGCCUCAAAAAUGCAUUUAAUAUAACGGAAUGGCUUUCAUAUAGUCAGCCAGAGAAAACCUAUACUCUAUGAGAUCAUUUGCUGUCAGAAAAGCAGAACACAAUUUUUAGAACUUUGCUGUAGAAUCUGUCCAUUACAACAAGAUUUUACAUCCUAUCCGUGCUCCCAAAAGCUAUUUUGUCAAAAGAUUAUAAUGGCACACAAUAUGAUUAAGGAGACCUUCAUAUAAAUUAGAUUUUUUUCUUAUUAUUUAGCUUAUAGUCAUUAUUGUGAGUUUGUGAAUGACAUUCUUUUAAAUCAUAUUUUCAUAACUACGGACAAAAUAAAGAGAAUGUCUAAUCAAAAUAUUCUAUUCAAAGACAAUGUUUAGUAAUACUAAAUGCCAAUCGUGUGAUCAGAAAGGAAAGUAAGCGUUACAUCACGCAGCAUGUUGCACUGUGAGGGUCAAGUCCUUGGACUUUUUUAGAAGUGGAAGCUAUUUCCAAAAUAGGGACAAAAAUUAUUUUCUAAUCACUCUGGCUGCUAGGUGGAGAAAGCAUUGUAGUAGGGUACAAGAGGAAAUAAGGGAACCAAUCAGGAUGCACCUGUAAUAAUCCAAUAACAGUGAUCUCCAAAUAUUCAUGUGCUACCCUACAUUUCUGAGCCUUCUUUGCACAGAGGUCGGAGCACGGUACUAGUUCUGACCAAUGGGCUAUCGACAAAAGUGACAUUGUCAUUUUUCUUCCAUCUGAUAACCUUCAAAGCCACUAGUCCAGAUAGUGUAUCUACCCGAUAGAGAACAGCCCAGAACAUAUCGGAAUUUAUAUAAGCCACAGUAAACCUUUGCUGUGUUAAACCACUGAGAUUUGGAGGUUAUUCAUUACUAUAAAUACAGCCUAACCUGACUAAUACACAGAACAAAAGAUGACAAUGGCUUGGACUAGGGAAGAAGGGGAUAAAGAAGAGAUGGAAAUAAGAAGCUGGAUACAAGAUUUAUUUUACAGUUGAUAAGACUUGUAGAAGGUGGUAAGCACUGGGAGGUCAAAGGUGAUCUUUAACAUUGUUUCACUCAGUUUUGCUCCAGUUAGAAAAUUUCUCCAUAACAGGCAAUUUGGCAAAAUUUUCACAAGUAAAAUUUUGCUGAAGAUAAUUCAAAAAUGGUUGCAGCAGUACAUUGACAGGGAACUUCCAGAAAUUCAAGCCAGAUUCAGAAGAGAACGUGGAAUAAGGGAUAUCAUUGCUGAUAUCAGAUAGAUCUUGGCUGAAAGCAGAGAAUACCAGAAAGAUGUUUACCUGUGUUUUAUUGACUAUAUAAAGGCAUUUGGCUGUGUAGGUCAUAACACAUAACAGAUAACAUUGCAAAGAACAGGAAUUCCAGGACACUAAAUUGUGCUCAUGCAGAACCUGUACAAAGACCAAGAGGCAGUCGUACGAAAAGAACAAGGGAAUACUGCAUGGUUUAAAAUCAAAAAAGGUAUAUGCAUCAGGGUUAUAUCCUUUCACCAUACUUACUCAAUCAGUAUGGUGAGCAAAUAAUCCAAGAAGCUGUACUACAUGAAGAAUGUGGCAUUAGGAUUAGAGGAAGACUCAUGAAUAACCUGUAAUAAGCAGAUAACACAACCUUGCUUGCUGAAAGUGAAGAGGACUUGAAGCACUUACUGAUGAAGAUCAAAAACUACAGCCUUCGGUAUGGAUUACACCUCAACACAAAGAAAACAAAAAUCCUCACAGUUGGACCAAUAAGCAACAUCAUGAUAAACAGACGAAAGAUUCAAGUUGUCAAAGAUUUCAUUUUACUUGGAUCUACAAUCAACACUCACGGAAGCAGCAGUCAAGAAAUCACAAGACAUAUUGCAUUGAGCAACUCUGUUGCAAAUGACCUCUUUAAAAUAUUAAAAAGCAAGGAUGUCACUUUGAGGACUAAGGUGCAUGUGACUCAAGGCAUGAUGUUUUCAAUCACCUCAUACACAUGUGAAAGCUGGACAAUGAAUAAGGAAGACUAAAGAAUUAUUGCUACCUUUCAAUUAUGGCUGUGGCGAAGAAUAUUGAACAUACCACGGAGUGCCAGAAGAACAAACAAAUCUGUCUUGGAAGAAGUACAGCCAGAAUGCUCCUUAGGAGCGAGUAUGUUGAGACUUCGUUUCACAUACUUGGGACAUGUUAUCUGGAGGGACCAGUCUCUGGAAAAGGACAUCAUACUUGGUGCAGUGGGGAGGCAGAGAAAGAGAGGAAAACCCUUGACAAGAUGGAUUGACAAAGUGCCUGCAAUCACAGGCUGAAACAUGGCCAACAACUGUGAGGGUGGUGCAGGACCAGGCAGUGUUUCAUGCUGUUGUACACAGGGUCGAUAUGAGUCAGAACCAACUCCCCAGCACCUAACAAUAACAAAUCAAACUGAUGAUUCACUAACGACCACAUACAGUAGAGAUAAAAAGAAAAUUUUAAUGGAGUUCAUACUAUUGUACUUCUAGUAAAAAAAACAGUGAUACUGAAAUUAGCAUUUCAAAAAUCAUUCUUACGGUCACACAUUAAAUAAUGCUAACUUAGAAAAACAGGAGUAUCAUUUUAAAUUUAAGUAUAUUAAAUAAUGCUGGAGGUUUUUGAUGUGUUAAAUAAAUUUUCCAUAAAGGAUACUUAAUCCUAAAUUUUAAUAGAAGUGAAUAAAAUCCAUUUGCUAUGAUUAAAAGUGGCAAACAAGCUUUCUCACCAAAACUGUUCCCUUGCUGGGAAACGAUAUUUUUCUCAAAAAUAAUUAAGAUUGAAAACAUGUCUAUCUUGCUCAAAGGAGAUUAACACCUGUUGUACCCCAAAGUCAAAAUAUGUUUUAUGUAGCAACUUAUGUAACCAAUGAUGUAAUAAUGGCUUAUGUAACUUAAGAGUGUAACCAAUCAGAGCAUAGCUGAUGUAACAGCAAACCACAAGAAUGUGAGUCAUAUCCAGUGUUGUCCAAGCUCCCUACUUAGCAUAUAGGCCUGGCAUGUAUGACCACUAAGAACACUGAUGCCCUGAUCUCAGGAGUGUGCUGAGCUGAGCACAAACCACUGUAUGCCGACCAUAAGGCGGGGCUCCUAUCUCUGGUGAAGAGCAGAACAAAGAAAUCUGUGAGUGGAGCUCACUAAAUGUAAAGAGUGGAAAUAAGCAGCAGCCUAGAGUGAGAGAGACAAGCUCCAGAAAGGUAAUAUAUGCCAUCCACAAUUGCUUGCUUAUAGUUACCACUUAAAUUGAUGAAGGAAAUAAGUACAAGCUGCUUAAACUAAGUGGUUUUGACUGCAAUUUCUUCCUGUUUUUUGUUUUUUUUUUUAAUCUACUCAUCAACAUCACAAGCCUAGGUCAUUGUUUUGACCUUGAAGUGUAAUUCCUCAGAAUAAGACAUAGCUUUCUAAUAUUGGGAAACCUGGUGGCCUAGUGGUUAAGCACUACUGUUGUUAACCAAAAGGUCAGCAGUUCGAAUCCACAAGGCGCUCUCUGGAAACUGUGGGGCAGUUCGACUCGACGGCAAUGGGUUUGGUUUUUUUCACAUUGUUGUUCCAAUAGUACGUCAGUUACCAAGACUCCAAAAGUGAUUGCAUAAAAACUAGUUUUGCCUUUAACUUAAAGAUUUUCUUAGCUUAUUAAUAAUAUAAAUGAACUACAGCAGACAGAAAAUCAAAAUAGAGGACCUGGUUGAGAAAAAUUACAAUCCGAAGAAAAAUAAGGUUUGUCCUACAUUAAAUUAGGCCAACCCUCCCCACUGGUGUUUGCUCACCUACAAAGAGCUUAUCCCUCCCUGGAAUUUGGUUCCUUUAGACUAGGGGUCAGCAAACAUUUUCUGUAAAGGGGCAGACAGUACAUACUUUAGGCAUUGUGAGUCACACAGUCUCUGUGACAACUACUCAACUUGUCAUUCCAGCCUGAAAGCAGCCAUAGAUGAUACAUAAACGAAUGGGUGUGGCUGUGUCGCAACAAAACUUUACUUACAAGAAUAGGCAGUGGGUUAUAUUUGGCCCAUGGGCCAUAGUUUUCCAGCCACUGAUGUAAAGCACCUUUUCAUAUGCUUUCCACGCUUCCCAAGUGCUUCUCACUUCCUUUUGUGAAGCGUCUGUUCAAAUUUUUGCCCACAAGUCUGUAGCUUGCCUUUUCAUUUUCCUAGCAGUAUCUUUUGAACAGCAGAAGUACCUAAUUUUGAUGAAGCCCAAUUUAUCCAAUUUUCAUUUUAUGGUUGGUUCUUUUUGUGUCCUAAUAAAUCUUUGCCUAACACAAAGUUAUAAAGAUUUUCUCAUGUUUCCUCAAGAAGUUUUCAAGUUUUAACCGAUUUAGAUCUACGACCCAAUUCAAGUUAACUUUUGUAGGUGGUAUGACGUGAGGAUCCAAAUUCAUUUUUUUCUAUCCAGGUGUUCCAGCACUAUUAGUUGAAAAAGCUCUAUUGUCCUGUAAUAGGUAGACCUAUCUAUUAUCUUUUAAUAGAUAAAGACUACCCUUUGAUAGAUAAAAGACUACCUAUGAAUACUGUACUUAGUACACACACACACCUCUUAGGUUUUUGUAGGCCACUUAUACACACAUUUAGAUCAAUACCACUAUUAUUACAGUUUACAGUAAUUCUUGAAGUAAAAAGAAAACAACAACAAAAAAAAAAACCGCAUUGCCGUCAAGUUGAUUCCAA